rnacentral:rRNA from 1 species
AUACGGAGGAUCCGAGCGUUAUCCGGAUUUAUUGGGUUUAAAGGGAGCGUAGGUGGAUUGUUAAGUCAGUUGUGGAAGUUUGCGGCUCAACCGUAAAAUUGCAGUUGAAACUGGCAGUCUUGAGUACAGUAGAGGUGGGCGGAAUUCGUGGUGUAGCGGUGAAAUGCUUAGAUAUCACGAAGAACUCCGAUUGCGUAGGCAGCUGACCAGACCGCAAAUGACGCACAUGCACGAAAGUGCGGGGAUCGAACAGGAUUAGAUACCCUGGUAGUCCGCACAGUAAACGAUGAAUACUUGUUUUCGGCGAUAUAAUGUCGGAGGCAAAGCGAAAGCGAUAAGUAUUCCACCUGGGGAGUACGCCGGCAACGGUGAAACUCAAAGGAAUUGGCGGGG